rnacentral:rRNA from 1 species
GACGUAGGGCGCAAGCGUUGUCCGGAUUUAUUGGGCGUAAAGAGCUCGUAGGCGGCCUGUCGCGUCGACCGUGAAAACCCGCAGCUCAACUGCGGGCUUGCGGUCGAUACGGGCAGGCUGGAGUUCGGCAGGGGAGACUGGAAUUCCUGGUGUAGCGGUGAAAUGCGCAGAUAUCAGGAGGAACACCGGUGGCGAAGGCGGGUCUCUGGGCCGAUACUGACGCUGAGGAGCGAAAGCGUGGGGAGCGAACAGG